rnacentral:rRNA from 1 species
CAGCGACGCCGCGUGAGGGAUGACGGCCUUCGGGUUGUAAACCUCUUUCAGUAGGGAAGAAGCGUAAGUGACGGUACCUGCAGAAGAAGCGCCGGCUAACUACGUGCCAGCAGCCGCGGUAAUACGUAGGGCGCAAGCGUUAUCCGGAAUUAUUGGGCGUAAAGAGCUCGUAGGCGGUUUGUCGCGUCUGCCGUGAAAGUCCGGGGCUCAACUCCGGAUCUGCGGUGGGUACGGGCAGACUAGAGUGAUGUAGGGGAGACUGGAAUUCCUGGUGUAGCGGUGAAAUGCGCAGAUAUCAGGAGGAACACCGAUGGCGAAGGCAGGUCUCUGGGCAUUAACUGACGCUGAGGAGCGAAAGCAUGGGGAGCGAACAGGAUUAGAUACCCUGGUAGUCCAUGCCGUAAACGUUGGGCACUAGGUGUGGGGGACAUUCCACGUUUUCCGCGCCGUAGCUAACGCAUUAAGUGCCCCGCCUGGGGAGUACGGCCGCAAGGCUAAAACUCAAAGGAAUUGACGGGGGCCCGCACAAGCGGCGGAGCAUGCGGAUUAAUUCGAUGCAACGCGAAGAACCUUACCAAGGCUUGACAUGAACCGGAAAGAUCUGGAAACAGGUCCCCCACUUGUGGUCGGUUUACAGGUGGUGCAUGGUUGUCGUCAGCUCGUGUCGUGAGAUGUUGGGUUAAGUCCCGCAACGAGCGCAACCCUCGUUCUAUGUUGCCAGCACGUGAUGGUGGGGACUCAUAGGAGACUGCCGGGCUCAACUCGGA